GACGAACGCUGGCGGCGUGCUUAACACAUGCAAGUCGAACGGGCUCUGUCUGGCUGUGUGCUGGGUGGGGUUAGUGGCGACCGGGUGAGUAAUACGUGAGUAACCUGCCCUCUUCUUUGGGAUAAGCCUUGGAAACGGGGUCUAAUACUGGAUAUUCCUGUCUGGUCGCAUGGCUGGGUGGGGAAAGUUUUUUCGGUGGGGGAUGGGCUCGCGGCCUAUCAGCUUGUUGGUGGGGUGAUGGCCUACCAAGGCGUCGACGGGUAGCCGGCCUGAGAGGGUGACCGGCCACACUGGGACUGAGAUACGGCCCAGACUCCUACGGGAGGCAGCAGUGGGGGAUAUUGCACAAUGGGCGCAAGCCUGAUGCAGCGACGCCGCGUGGGGGAUGACGGCUUUCGGGUUGUAAACCUCUUUCGUCGGGGGACAAGGCUCUGCUUGGUGGUGGGGUUGAGGGUACCCGGUGAAGAAGCGCCGGCUAACUACGUG
rnacentral:rRNA from 1 species